CUAACCCGCCCCGCCGUUAAAAAAAAAGAGAAGAAAACCGUGAGCACGAUCUCUCCCCCGUCCGCAGGACCUCUCGCCCCCGCCUUCUCCGGCGCCGUUCGCCGCCCGCGGUUUGCCGCCCAUCGCGCCCUUCGCCGCGGGACAGCCGGAGCCGCCGCCCGUCGCGCACUGCGGGAGCCGCCGCAGGUUGUCGCUUGUCGCGCCCUUCGCCGCGGGAGAGCCGGAGCCACCGCCCGUCGCGCGCCGGAGGAGCCACCGCAGGUCGCCGCGGGAGAGCCGGGGCCGCCGCGAUCGUGAGCAGCCGCCCGCCCAUCCUCCAUCCCUACGCGGGCGCACCUUCCUUCAGCUCCUCCUCGCGCCGCCCCUCUCCUUUGCCCCGGCCGCCAAGACCCAGCGGUCGCUUCACCGGGUUGCGGCGCCGCCCCGCCCGAUAGCCUCCUAGCGGCCGCCUGCCGCCAUCCGCGCAGACUGCUUCACCGACGCCCGCGGCCGCUUCACCGGGCCACGGCGUCGCCCGCCCAUCCCUGUGUGUGCGACGGCUGAAAAUUUCGAUCUGCGAUGGUGCGCGGAGAUCAAGCGAUGACGGCAACAGCGUCGAGCUUUGCAGAUUUCAGCUAGAGCUUGCAGAGUUCUAAAAUAUGUUGACCAAAUCGUUUCUUCAAAACCUGGUUCACAAAUACUAUGAUCUUGCUACUAGCUUCUAUGAGUGUGGCUGGACUGAAUCCUUCCACUUUGCUCAUAGCAUUUUAGGUGGAAUGGUGAACCUUGAAGCAGAAGUACCAAACGGUACGAGCACUUUCUGGCCCUAUAGCUUGAGUUGAAGCCUGGGAUGAAGGUCGUUUUUCUUAUGAAGAUCGAAUAACCCAUGGUUUUGGAUGUCAGGUAUGGAAUAGGCAGGCCAUUAAGAGAAAUUCCAAGAUUUAGGUUUAAUUCCUGUUUCGCGCUUUCACCUCUCUUCAUACGUGUGAAUACUGAUGUGUUCGGGUUUAGACAUUCUCAUAUGCGUGAUUAACGCAACUGAAGUGAUUCAUGUUUUUCUUACUUUCAACUGAAAACUUGUGGGGGCAUGAUUUUGAGGAGGCGAUCCAGAGCACCAAUAAGUUAGAGAAGUUCGACCUCAACCUUUCCAGGAAUUAAUCUAUUUUGGAACGGAGCUCCACCUCAGUUACUGAUUGAACAACAACGACUACCAAAUAACUAGGGAAAGGUCGCCACCAAGAACGGGUCACUGAUAGUAUCAACAUGGAGGCGUGCCUUAGCCUGGAGCCCAGCAAGAAGAUCAUCGGGAGCUUCGGGACAUUUGAGACGGCCGUUCUCCAUGUGGCCAACGCCAUCCAGCUGCAGGCAUUGCGCCGGCCUCGGCAGGAGUCGGUCAAGCCCAAUUGUAGCAUCUAUUGACCAAUGCAAGCUCCAUCAGGAUGUGCGUAGUGUCCAUAAGUUCCCUUUUGGCCAGUACAUGGAGAAAAAAAACAUGGAAUGGCCAACUUGCAUUUUCACGUCAAGCAUGGCUGAUUAUCAGAGGGCAAGGAAAGAUGGAGUAGCAGAAGCAUUGCUUACGAUGAGUUCAUCGGGUCAACAGUGCACAUUAACAAGCAUUGCCUGCUGUCUGCCGUCGCCUACUUUGACGAGGAUGACAGCGGGUACAUCACCGUUGACCGCUGGAAGAGGUGUGCUGGGAGUACAACACAAGCUGACCGGCAUCGCGACAUCGCCAGGGAGGUCGGCAAUGACAACAUGCGUUCGUAAUGACUUGAAGAAAGCAUAUGAGAAGCGAGUAUAGGAGCUUUAAUAUUAGAGCAACAGGGGAGGAGCAAAUGAUUGAAGGGCUAUCAGCCGUGUAAUAGAAAGCUGAGGAUAACGUCAACAGGUGGAAAACUAUAUUUGGUUGACAUAAUAACACUAGCAAAGGUGAAUAACAAUGUAACAUUAUCUUUUCAUUAGUUGAUCCAUUCAACUUUUGUUUGAUAUGACUGGCAUGAUAUUUGGAUAGGAAAGUUAUUUGUUAACUCCGUAUCA